GAGCAAAAUUUGUCGUUUCCAUGAAGAAUCAAUCAAAAUAAAAAGAGAUAGUAGAGAGAAGAUACGGCUAUAGCAAAAAGAGACUAUUGAUUUCGGGUUUUAUUUUUGAAGUGACGAUUGAUUGAUUGAUUGGGUUUGACAACUCGCAAGAAUCGGUUGAAUACGGCUCUAGCAAGCCAAAAGAAGCUAGUUGUUCGUGACUCAAGUAAAUCACCACUCUAUAUGUGAUUCGUGUGAUGGGCAAUCCAAUUUAGAAGUUGUCGUUACUUCAGGAUAUAUUGCGUUUUAAUAAUGUCAACUUGCCAACAAUGUUAAUGUGAGAUGGACUAAGCCUCCCAAAAGAGUGUUUGGCCAUGGGUUUUUGACAAAGGUGAGUUCUUGACAUAGGCGGUGACAUUACUACAAUUGAGUUUUGGUCAUUGGUUGAAGGUGGUUGAAAAGGAAUAUCAGCAACACCAAAAGAUUUUGGAGGAGCUAGAUAUGGUUGAAGUCCAAUAAAUUGAUUACGGGUCGGAUCGGUACAAAAUACUACAUUAUUUGGAAUGGAAAGAACGUUUGUCGUGUUGAACCUAUUACACAUAAAAGUAUUUGGUGUCAUAACAGAAGUAGAUGCCAUUGGUUGUUGAAUAUUUGUAGAUAUGGGAGAUGCCAUGGUCCUCGUAGUUGAAAUCUUUCCUUUCUUUAAUCCAUUUUUGUAAUUCUGUUCAUCAUGAAAGAACAAACCGAAUGUUUAAAAUAUGAAUAUUUUGUAACAUUGUUUAAAUUAGUUACCUGUAAAUGACUAGCAAUGUGACCGCGAUUAAGUUGAGGUUCAUUCAUCAUUUCCAAUAUUUUAUUCGGAACAGCUUCUACAAAAUUUAAAAAAUAACAAUUACAAAUUUGAUUUGUAACAUGUAAUAUA